CCAGCCAACUCCUAGGUAAAAGGAAGUAGCAGAAGAUGAGUAUUUUUUGAAGACACACUGCCAGAGUUCUGAUGGUAAUUAACCGAUUGGUCUUCAGUUCCUAUCUUUUCCAUGAAAAGCAAGAUGCCAGGCCUAUAAUUAAAGCAGGCAUUGUUGCCUCAACUUUAAAGCUGAGGAAACAGGCUCAGAAAUUUGAGGCCUCAUGUUGCACAACCAGCAAUCAGCAAGUCAAAAUCAAACCCAGUCAUUUUUCUUA